rnacentral:rRNA from 1 species
AUUGAACGCUGGCGGCAGGCCUAACACAUGCAAGUCGAGCGAGCGGCGGACGGGUGAGUAAUGUCUGGGAAACUGCCUCAUGGAGGGGGAUAACUACUGGAAACGGUAGCUAAUACCGCAUACCAUCAGAUGUGCCCAGAAGGGAUUAGCUAGUAGGUGGGGUAACGGCCCACCUAGGCGACGAUCCCUAGCUGGUCUGAGAGGAUGACCAGCAACACUGGAACUGGGUCAAGGACAAGACUCCUAAGGGAGACAGCAGUGGGGAAUAUUGCACAAUGGGCACAAGCCUGAUGCAGCCAUGCCGCGUGUGUGAGGAAGGCCUUCGGGUUGUAAAGCACUGUCAUCGGGGAGGCGUUACCCGAAGAAGAAGCACCGGCUAACUCCGUGCCAGCAGCCGCGGUAAUUC